UUUCCUCUUCUUCUUUCUUGAGAACUUUAAAAGUGAAAGAUGGAAUGUUUGUCUAGUUAAAAUCCUUAUAAAGCCAAACAUGUUGUGAUGAGCAGUGCAGAAAAUAAAAGGUAACUCGACAAUUUCAGAUUGACACAAUAAGACAGUGAAGAAGACCACAUGGCAUCAAAACUUUUAAUCAAAGGUUAACUAACAAACUAUCAAAGCUUAGUUUGCUGAGGUAUUGGGUUCACCUCUUGGCAAAAACUUAGAAUUUGAUACCAAGGCACUAAUCAGCAAAUGUUAUUCCAAAUAUGCUCACACAGGGAGGUUCUCUCAAUCUCAACACAAAUGCCUGGUAGCAUAUCAAAAUUUCCCGUUUUAUUACUUGUGCAAGUCAUCAAGCCGUGAUUCAGUUUCUACAAUCCAUUAACAAGAUAAAGACACAGAAAUAGAAGCUUUGCAAAUAUUAAAUUUUGAAAGAAUUAUGCAAUGUGCAAAAAAGAACUAAUGGAAAUUAUUAUAAAGAAUGAUUUGUGAAGGUCUGCAGAGAGGUCUCCCAAUCAACGUCAUCCCAUGAACAUAGCCAGAAGUGGAGACACCAAAAAAGGCAGGCACAAAGUCCUCGUUUCUUACAUCAUCUAAAUGCAAAUUCCAUCACCCAAAAAAAUAAAUAAAUAAAGGCAAUUAUAAAUGCAUUUAAAGCUUAUUGAAUCAUCCUCAGAUGUUUUUGACCGCAUAAUCCUUCACUGCAAAAAGCUCCAAAAGCAUUAGUUCCAUAGAUCAGAAGAUCUUCAGAAUAUCAAAUACAUAACAAAUCUUCCAAUAAGGCAACUAAUGUAAACAUGGCCACUUAAUUUUCUAUUCUCUAUCAUCUCCUUAGGUCACACGUUCAAUAAGCAAAGGCCAAAAAGUUAGAAAGGAAAUUAAGAGCUUCUUUUGGAUGAGGAGUUGGCCCCCUCUGGUCCUUAUGCGGCUCCACCAGUGUGCUCUCCAAACAAAGAAACAUAAAAGCUAGGAGGUCAUUAAUAUCCAUUGACAAGUCAUUACAAUAACUAGCUUAAUAUUGUCAAGAGAUAGUGCAGAUGAAAGCACACUAGCGAAAAUGGAGAAGGAAGGUACAGCCAAAUGAUAACCAAUUGCUUGCACCAGUAGCAAGAAAGACAAUAUAGCAAUGAACUGAAUCGCUUCUUGACUAUGAUCCCUAAGAAGGAUUAAAUUUUUUACAUGCAAGAACUGUAAUAGUAACUUGUGAAGAUAAUGAAAACUACGGAAGGAUAACGCGUUGAAAUGACAAUAGAGGCUUUAAGGUCAUAAGGACGCCCUUCUUACACUGAUGCUGGGCAAAAUCAAUAGACUGAUGGUCACUAACUACACGAAUAGAAUUGUUUGAUUGUACUAUUUUUAGAUCUCUGUCAGAUUACCAGAGUUCUUUUAAUAACUUGCAUCAAACAAUAAUAAAAAGACCAAUUACGUGAAUUAUAAAUAGAUAUUUUACUAAAUGGAAUGAAAGAUUGUGUAAAUAUAUGAUGCACAGUUCAUGCUAAUCACAAACAGAAGUGUCAGAAAACAGAAUUUUUAGCAGGAAACAUACCACUGAAACUCCAGCAAUGAGGUCAUACAUCAUAAUCCCUGCAUCAGCCAGGGCAAGGCUUGCACAAGAUAUUACAACAGGAAUAUCACCUGCAAAGAAAAUGAUGAAGUUCAUUAAUGAGAUCAAAGGUAAGCUUAAACUUUCCCAGCAUAAAAAAAAUUAUGUUGAUAAAUUAUGCUGCAGGAAAAAGGACACAAACUUCCAAAGAAUACAUGGACUUGCUAUUCAAUCUUUCGAACUUAAACACAAAAAGCACCAGCGCCCAAUAUCAGUUUGACGCAAUGACAGCUGUGUCAGAACAGUAUUUGUGUUAUCCUGCAGACUAAACCUGUCAUGCCUUUGUAAAGGAAUAUUCAUUGUAAGACAACCUUAAAUUUUGCUUACCUAGACUUCCUUUUUUCAUCCUUUACCUUUUCAUUUUUCAAAAAUCUAAUUAGGCCCAGAUUUAAAAGGCCAAUGUGAAGCUGUAACUUACUGCCACCAGAUUCCAACACCAAUGCAAAAACAUCUACAGUUGUUUUGGGGAAAGUUUCCAACAUUAUCGCACCUUCCAAAGCUUUAUGAAGCAUUGAGGAAAAUUCUUUAUGGUCUGAUCCCUGUCCACGGACUGGGGUAGCAAAAGUUGUAUAGCUCACAUUGCAAUUCAGCCGGCCUACAUCACUAUACAUCAUUGCUUUCUUACUUUCUCUGGGACCAAAAACAGACACGACGACUUUUGUAUUUCCAAACUCAGCAUAAGCUGAUCCUGCAGCAGCAUUUACAGCACCAGUCCUAAAAACUAAUCCAAUAACAAAUGAUAAAAAGACUCACUUUGAUCCAAUCACCCAUCAUGCCAACCAAACACAUGAAGCAAAUAACAAGUGAAAAAUAAAUCAAAAUCCUAAAUUUUGGCAUUGAAAAAAUUAAAAGAAAGAUAAUGAAGCAACCAAAAUGAACCAGACAGUUUAAGAACCAAAAAACACCUUUAUAACAAAAGUUUCUCGAGCAUAUUGCACGUGCUGAUGGUUCACUGUACAGAGAGAUAAACCAGACAUAAACCAAGAAAGAAAUCAGAACCCAAAUUAAAUCUCCAAAUGCCCACCUCGAAAUACUGAUCAUUCAAUCCAAUCACAAAAACAUAGACAAUAGUGAUCAGCUAAACAAAAAAAAAUAUAUCAGUGGAGCAAGUAACAGGCUAUGAUCAAGUGCUGAAAGUAGAGCAACAAAAAGGAAAAAAAAAUUUCAAAAAUAAAUGUCAAAGCGACAAAAUGAAAGAAAAACAAAUCCUGAUAUAUCAUUUGACAAAAAAAAUUGGGGACAGAUAAAGUACAGGCGGGUCGGCACUGGUGGAAGCCUCGGCCAUCAGGACGGACCCAAUCGACAUCGGAGUCUUUGAAAAUGGGCAGUCGUGAUUUACGGGCCAGGGUCGGAGAGUACGUCGUCGGAGCUGAACCGGGUUUCGAGGCCAUUCUCUCGCUUUUCUUCGUUUUGGAGUCCCCAAGGUUUCAAGUGACCCAGAAAUUAUAUAUGCUUUUGCUUUGUGGGAGAACUUCGUCGAGAGCCGUUACAGGUUUUCUGUCUCUUGCAUUCUAAGAUUAAACGAUGUCGCUUUUGUUAUCUUCUUAAAGU
rnacentral:misc_RNA from 1 species